AGCGAACGCUGGCGGCAGGCCUAACACAUGCAAGUCGAACGGAUCCUUCGGGAUUAGUGGCGGACGGGUGAGUAACACGUGGGAACGUGCCCUUUGGUUCGGAACAACUCAAGGAAACUUGAGCUAAUACCGGAUGUGCCCUUCGGGGGAAAGAUUUAUCGCCAUUGGAGCGGCCCGCGUCUGAUUAGCUAGUUGGUGAGGUAACGGCCCACCAAGGCGACGAUCAGUAGCUGGUCUGAGAGGAUGAUCAGCCACACUGGGACUGAGACACGGCCCAGACUCCUACGGGAGGCAGCAGUGGGGAAUCUUGCGCAAUGGGCGAAAGCCUGACGCAGCCAUGCCGCGUGAAUGAUGAAGGUCUUAGGAUUGUAAAAUUCUUUCAGCGGGGACGAUAAUGACGGUACCCGCAGAAGAAGCUCCGGCUAACUUCGUG
rnacentral:rRNA from 1 species